CCCGUUGUAGUCUAGUUGGUUAGGAUAUUCGGCUCUCACUCGAGACACUAUGGUUCAAAUCCCGGCAAUGGAA
rnacentral:tRNA from 1 species